rnacentral:tRNA from 1 species
GCCCAUGUGGCUCGAUUGGUAGAGCAUGGCGCUUGAACUGCCAGGGUUAUGGGGUUGAUUCCCAUGGGGGACC